GCCGGUGUAGCUCAAUGGUAGAGCAAGCGCAUCGUAAGCGUUAGGUUGUCAGUUCGAUUCUGACCACCGGCUCCA
rnacentral:tRNA from 1 species